AACGAACGCUGGCGGCAGGCUUAACACAUGCAAGUCGAGCGCCCCGCCAGGGGUGCGGCCGUCGGGUGGGUAACGCGUGGGAACGUACCUUUUGGUUCGGAACAACUCCGGGAGACUGGAGCUAAUACCGGAUAAGCCCUAACGGGGAAAGAUUUAUCGCCGAAAGAUCGGCCCGCGUCUGAUUAGCUAGUUGGUGAGGUAACGGCUCACCAAGGCGACGAUCAGUAGCUGGUCUGAGAGGAUGAUCAGCCACACUGGGACUGAGACACGGCCCAGACUCCUACGGGAGGCAGCAGUGGGGAAUAAUGGACAAUGGGCGCAAGGCUGAUCCGGCCAGGCCGCGUGAAUGAUGAAGGCCUUAGGGUUGUAAAGCUCUUUUGUCCGGGAAGAUAAUGACGGUACCGGAAGAAUAAGCCCCGGCUAACUUCGUG
rnacentral:rRNA from 1 species